rnacentral:rRNA from 1 species
UACGGAGGGUGCAAGCGUUAUCCGGAUUUACUGGGUUUAAAGGGUGCGUAGGUGGGCAGUUAAGUCAGUGGUGAAAUCUCCGGGCUUAACCCGGAAACUGCCAUUGAUACUAUCUGUCUUGAAUAUCCUGGAGGUGAGCGGAAUAUGUCAUGUAGCGGUGAAAUGCUUAGAUAUGACAUAGAACACCCAUUGCGAAGGCAGCUCACUACGGGAUCAUUGACACUGAGGCACGAAAGCGUGGGGAUCAAACAGG